rnacentral:lncRNA from 1 species
UUAUUCUUUUUUUCUUUUUUGAUCAAUGAGUUAAGGGUUGAUGGUUAGCAUUGAUUAGGGAGGUUUAAUCUUAUUUGAUUCAAAUCUAAUUCAUCUUGAUCAAAUGAUCAAGUGAAUGGCUUUGCAUUAAGGAUAGAUUGCUUCCUAAAUCAUGCAAAGGACUUAAACCAAUACAAGAUCAUUUCUCAUCUUCUUCUUUUUGGCAUGGCAAGUUGUUGGAGUUUGAUUCACUAAUCAAGACCUCUAACUUGUAUUGUUGCCUACAUUAUUA